rnacentral:rRNA from 1 species
UAAACGCUGGCGGCGUGCAUAAAACAUGCAAGUCGAACGGAUGGCUUCGGCCAUCAGUGGCGGACGGCUGAGUAACACGUAAGUGACCUACCCUUGAGUGGGGAAUAACUGCUCGAAAGAGUGGCUAAUACCGCAUACGCCCGCGUCUUCGCCGACGCGAGGAAAGCAGCAAUGCGCUCGAGGAUGGGCUUGCGGCCGAUUAGCUAGUUGGUGGGGUAAUGGCCCACCAAGGCAAUGAUCGGUAGCUGGUCUGAGAGGAUGAUCAGCCAGACUGGGACUGCGACACGGCCCAGACUCCUACGGGAGGCAGCAGUUAGGAAUUUUGCGCAAUGGACGAAAGUCUGACGCAGCAACGCCGCGUGGAGGACGAGGGCCCUCGGGUCGUAAACUCCUUUUCCAGGGGAAGAUGGUGACGGUACCCUGGGAAUAAGCCCCGGCUAACUACGUGCCAGCAGCCGCGGUAAUACGUAGGGGGCGAGCGUUGUCCGGAUUUACUGGGCGUAAAGAGCGCGUAGGCGGCUCAUUUAGUCGUGCGUGAAAUACCCCGGCUCAACCGGGGGGUGUCGUGCGAUACUGGUGGGCUUGAGGCUGGUAGGGGGAAGUGGAGUUCCCGGUGUAGUGGUGGAAUGCGUAGAUAUCGGGAGGAACACCAGUGGCGAAGGCGGCUUCCUGGACCAGUCCUGACGCUGAGGCGCGAAAGCGUGGGGAGCGAACUGAAUUAGAUACUCAGGUAGUCCACGCCGUAAACGAUGGGUGCUAGGUGUCGGGGGUAUCGACCCCUCCGGUGCCGCAGCUAACGCAUUAAGCACCCCGCCUGGGGAGUACGGCCGCAAGGCUAAAACUCAAAGGAAUUGACGGGGGCCCGCACAAGCGGCGGAGCAUGCGGAUUAAUUCGAUGCGACGCGAAGAACCUUACCUGGGUUUGACAUCACGGGAAAACUCGCAGAGAUGCGGGGUCCUUCGGGGCUCGUGACAGGUGCUGCAUGGCUGUCGUCAGCUCGUGCCGUGAGGUGUUGGGUUAAGUCCCCUAACGAGCGCAACCCUCGGGGUCCGUUGAAUAUUUGUCUCGGGCCCGACUGCCGCGCGCAACGCGGAGGAAGGUGGGGAUGACGUCAAGUCAGCACGGCCCUGACGUCCAGGGCGACACACACACUACAAUGGCCGGGACAACGGGUCGCGCUUGCCCGCGAGGGUUGGCCAAUCCCUAAAACCCGGUCUCAGUUCGGAUGGCAGGCUGCAACUCGCCUGCUUGAAGCUGGAGUUGCUAGUAACCGCGGGUCAGCAUACCGCGGUGAAUACGUUCCCGGGCCUUGUACACACCGCCCGUCACACCACGAAAGCCGGCGACACCUGAAGCCGUCGGGCGAACCAGGGGCAACCCUGGAGGCAGACGUCGAGGGUGGGGUUGGUGAUUGGGGUGAA